GGGGAGGGGGGUGUGAAUGCAUUAGCAUGUCCCAACCAAAGCAGGAGGAGAAAGGAAGAAGAUAAUCGAGGGUGCUAAAAAUAGUCAGUCUUCCCUAACUCCGCUCACGCCCAGGUCCAGACGUCUCAACUCCUCGGUGCUUUCUAGUAAGAGCAAAAAGCGAGGUGCUCAGGCUGCCCGCGGCUCAGGGACCCUCCACGGUUUGUCUUUCAGGAAAGUGGCUUAGCUGGGGAGCUUGGUCCGUCUUCUGGGCAGACAGGGACUACCUACCCUGGGCUCGACGCAUGGAGGGCACGGGCUCUUAGGGCCAUGUUGCGGAGAGAGGAAAUACUGCCUCUGACGACGGGGGGGGGCUGCAUUCCCCGUGGCUGGCCCCUGGGUUUGCAUUGGGCAUCAUUUCCCCAGCUGGAUGGAGGUAGCUGGAGAGUGGGUUCCCAGGGAGACCCUGGUGCCACUGGGAGCUUGGUGCAGAGUGGGCUCCAUCGAGGUCUUCACACGGAGCCGGAGCACAGGAGGGCUGGCCUGGGACCUUGCUCCCUGAUCCUCCUGAGAAAUGGAGGCCGGUGGGAGAGCUCGGGCCUGUCUCCCCUGGGAACCACAGCUUGAAGGGCCCCUGGAGGCCUGGCCCACCGCUCACGGGGACAUAGUGGGUCUUUUAGCCCCCAGCCCACGGCUCUGUCUGUCCUCCCACGGCUGGCUCAGGACUGGGCUGUGCAUCUCAGGUGGACACUCCAGCAGCAGGUGGUUGUCCUUGUCCUCCCUCUUUCAGCAAAAACCAGUCAUGGCUGAGAAUCCCAAGGGCCUGGCAGCCCCUGGAACUCCCCCUUCUAGGGGGAUCUGCACGGAGGUCAGAUCAACCAGUGCCUCAGCUGCCCGGCACCUGAAGCCGGGGGUGGGUAGAGGCAAGUGUGAGGGGAGACAGAGGCCCCCGCUCUGGCUGGAGGGACGGAAUACUCAGUCUGCAAUCGCCAGGGAAGGCUCAUGCCACGGGCACCUAGUGUUGCCGCUGCCACCCCGUCCUUGAACAGGCAGUAGGCUGAGACCCACGGAGGGAGUGACACGGCUAGGCCACCCAGCCAGCAACGGCCAACUCCCCGGAGCAGAGAUGGGGGCCACUCUCCACUGCACCUUUGCUAACCGGCAGCCGCGGGAGCCUGGCGUCCGCGCUCCAGAGCCCUGCCUCGCUCUGCUCUGCAGUCCUCGACCUGAACGUGACUGCUCACGGGGCCUGCAUCGCACGCACCUCCCUCCAGCCCCCACCCCCGGCAACCCCUACCCCCGAGACCCCUACCCCUGGAGACCCUACCCCCAGACCCUAACCCCAGAGACCCUACCCCCAGCAGCCACGCUUGCGUUCACUGGGCCUUAUCCUUGCUGUGAGUUGCGGAGCUCCCUGAUAGGCCCCGUGAAGACAGGGAUGCGAGGAAGGCUGGGCCAAGCCCCCAUCUGGGCCUGAAAAAAGCUGGGCAGGCCUCCCUGGGGAUCCCACCAUGGUCUCAGGACCUGUCGGGGCGGGCGGGGGCGCAGCUCAGACGUCAGUGCUGAUGCUGCGGCUCCGUGAGAAGGCCUCCCGCAUGGCCGAGAGGCGGUUGGGGUUGAGCGCCUGCAGGCCCCCAAAGCUCCCGGGCGGCAGCUCCACGUCGUCCUGGCUGAUGCUCUUGUAGGCCACACGCUCCCCGCCGUUGCGCACACCCUCGUCCUCGGGCUCCUGCAGGAAGAAGGUGGGCGGCUCGUAGUGGGAGCAGCUGCGGCAGAGGGAGCGGGCCUGCGGGGACUUCUGGCUGAAGGAGGUGGAGGCAGCUGGGUAGAGAGCCGGCCCCGGCCCGUUGGUCAGGACGAGGUUGCGGUUGGCGUGCAGUGGCGGCAGGUGCGCGUGCACUGCGAAGUCGGGCUCCUCCUCGUCCUCCUCGGACUCGUCCUUCUUGCAGCAGUAGUACUGUGGGCAGAGGGCGGGUGACCUCCGGCUCCCCACCCACCUCUCCCGACCCGCACGCAGGGAAAGGGGGUAUGUGCCCGGGUCAGACACCUGUGUCCCUUUAACCACCACUUAUGAGGGGCUCACCCAGGUCAGGCACCCACCCUGCUAAACACUCUGUAAGGAGGGAUCCGCUCAUUUCAUCCCCAUGGCAACGGGAGGCAGGUGUAAUUGUCAUCUCCAGUUUGCAGGUGAGGAACUGAGGCACAGAAAGUGGCAGAGCUGGGGUUCCAGCCCAGGCAGUGUGUCCCCAGACUAGUUUAUGGGCACUGGGCUGUGUGGCCCUGCCCUGCACGUGUGGUUUCCCUUCCUCUCUCAGGAAGACGUGGGGGCCCCGGUGGGCCCUACAGCAUGGGUGGGGAGGGGAGGGCACAGGUGGUGGACUAGCAUAGCCCAAGUGCUCCCCCCUGCUUGCCACUUGGCAGCUGUGUGCCAUUGGCUAAAUCCCUUACCCACUCUGAGCCUCAGUGGCCUCACCUCUCAGGGCGUUUGGGAAGCCCUGGGGGAGGUGAGCCAGGUGGCCGUCAUCACUGAGCCCUCAGGUGGAGUCUGGGCCAGGGUGUCUGCCAUGCACUUUCUUCCAGACCUGACUCUUCCCUCCUUCCUGGGCCCGGGCCCUGGGGGGGGCUGCCCUCCCGCCACAGGGCCACCCUCGGGGGCUCCCCUCCCCCAGCCCCCCGGGAGUACCUGGAGCCGGCAGUAGCACAGUACGGCGAUGAUGCACAGCAGAAUCACAGUCGCCAAGAUGCCCCCGGUGAUGACCACCGUCCCAGCUGUCAUCCGCCCCCUUCUCCAUCAACAGCCUGCAACACACGCCACUAGCUUUACUGCGUCAUCGCUUCCUCCUUGCAAAAGUAACCCAUUCUAGUUUAGAAUGUUGAGAAAACAGCGCGAAAGGGGAAAAUACCUACCCCAGGGGGCAUGCAUGCAAGAGGCAGGGGCUGGGCCUGGGGGUGGGCAGGACGACAUCCAAGCUGUCUGCCUCGCCCUCUCCCAGCCUCAGUUUCCCCAUCCGCAGAAGGUGAUGCUGAGAACAGGUCUCCACCCUCACACGAGGGCUGUGUGUAUGUUUCGUGAGCUUGUUCUUCAGCGCCCAGCGUAGCACGCUCAGUGAGUGGCGCCGGCCCUGUGAGGUCACGCACCCAUAAAUUCAGCUAGAUGCCCGAGCUGAGCACGUGGCUUCAUAACACGCUUCUCCACCUAACAUCAUGUACAAUACACAUAACAUAAAGUUUGCCAUCGGAAACAUUUCUAAGCGUCCAGCUCAGUAGCCUUAAGUACGUCCCCACUGUUGUGCAACCAAGCUCCAGGACUCUUUCAUCUUGCAAAACUGAAAACCAAUUCUUUCUCGAUAUUUAGGUUGUUUACAUUAAAAAAUAUUUUAAGUGGAUGCUUUAAUAAGUGUUUUUGCAGCUAAGUGAUCGGAGCCAGUGGAACAGGACGUACUUCAGUUACUUUUCCAGGAUAAAUUCUUAGAAGUGGGAUUUCUAGGCCUAAGGACAUGCCCUUUGUAAACUUUUUAUUAUGGAAAAUGUUCAACAAACAGAAGUCGAGAGAAUGACCAAUGCUGUCACCAGUUGCGCGCUUGUUGGCUUUUCCAUCUGUCCAGCCGGCGCUGACGAACCGGUUCUCAGAAUGAAAGCAUCCUGACUUGCAGCAUUUGCUGAUGUUUGUGGCGUCAACAGUCUCACGAUGCCCGUUUCAAGCUACCGAGGUUUACCGACGGGCUCGAAGAAUCCAUGGGCGGUGAACAGUCAGCUCUCCCAAACCAGCAGUCACGGGCUCCAGCACACCUGCCUCAAUGUCCCCCUCAUUUUAUUUUGCAGGGCAUGGUGUUGGGGGGGGGGGUUGGCGAUCAGAGUAUUUUAAAAGAAAUCCCAGAGCAUAUUAGUUAACCCAUAAACAGUUCAGUGUAAAAUCUGACAGAUGAGGACUUUAAAAAAAAAAAUCCCCAGGCUGUGUUUAGCUUUCUCCCAUCAUCCCCGAAAUGUCUUUUUACAGUUGGUUUGUUCCAAUGAGGAUCGAGUUGCGUUUGGCACUGUUGACUCUCAAACAGCUCAGUUCCCAUUCACUCUCCUCCCCGCUCCUGGCCCAUGUUGUUUAUAGACGAAACUGGGUCAUUUAUCUUACAGAAUUUUCCAUGUACGAGAGCUGGCUGGGUUUCCUCGGGCGGCACUGAACACGUUCCACCACCCCUGUUUUGUCAUCUAAACUGGAUUCCUGUUGCAUCCCUUUCAGGGGCCCAGGCUGCUGUCCCUCUUGUCGUGAUGGUGAGAUUAACUAGUGGCUUCCACUGGGGUCAGCCUAAUUCUUCCACUGUGAAGUCCCCAUCGGCCUGCCACCUCAGCAUUGCAGCAGCUGUCAGGGAUCGUUACCCAGAGCCAUUACCCCUUGAGGGGCUGCAAAUAGCGGCUUCUCAAAUGCUAUCAUUUCCUCUGCACUUAUCAGCUCUGGUUCUUCUCUGAAGAACUUUCCCUAUUCCCAAAUUGGUCAUCCUAAAAGACCGUCUGCAGAGGAAAGGCACGGAUGCUCAGCUCUUAUCUUUACCAUUUUCAGAAUAAGCUGGCACGCCACGAUCAUUGUGAUCUCACUGACUUCCAUACGUUUGAUGUGUUUCAAUCCACCACAGUCAUCAUCCUUUUGGAUGUUCAAAUGAUCCUACCGGAACUGUGGGUUUGUGGGCCCCUCCGAAUUGGCUCCUGUGUCAUUUCGAUGGGACCCCACUGAUUCCUGAUGGCGUUUUGCUUUUUGGCACAAGACGUCCCAGCUCAUCUUGUCCUGGACCUGGGAACCUGACGUUCCUUGGCGACACCCUGGUUCUCUUAGUGGGAAGUGGUUUGUAGAGAACACAGUCUAGGCCCCAGAGGUGCUAAGUGCUCCUGGGUUUCAGUGGUUCUAGGCAUUUUCAGUGACGAGAGCUGGAGAAUACUUUUUGUAUUUAUUUUUUAUGAAAAGAAAAAUAAAACAUGAGUUUAUACUGCCAUUUCCACUUAAAGUUAGAGAUUACAGGGUCUUGUUAAAAUUUGAUGUCUGUAUGACGUUUACAGUGAAAAUCUUGUUUCCUAAUGUCAUACAUUUCAAUACUUAUUUACCUUUCCCGUUAUAUAUAAUUUUAAGAUAACAUUACCAAUAUUUUUACCGACAAGUCAUUUGAUAUUUGUUAUUUUUUUUUGUUCUUCUCCCCUCCGGGAUGUACAGUAAAAAGACCGUUUCAAAGUUAUCGGAAAUAAUUCUUAGUAGUGUUUUCCACCAACUUGAUACUCAGGUUCAUGUAUUCCAGUUAGUUCUUACCUUUUUUUUUUUUCAAAUUGAUUUAAUUUUGCUUUCUAAUUGUAGAAAACAUUUGAUUCCAAAGUCAAAAGCAUAAAACUGUUACUGCGCAAAAUUGGGGUUUUCUUGCCCAAUGUGCAUUAAAAAAGCC
rnacentral:lncRNA from 1 species